rnacentral:rRNA from 1 species
AUUGAACGCUGGCGGCAGGCCUAACACAUGCAAGUCGAGCGGAUGAAGGGAGCUUGCUCCUGGAUUCAGCGGCGGACGGGUGAGUAAUGCCUAUGAAUCUGCCUGGUAGUGGGGGAUAACGUCCGGAAACGGGCGCUAAUAUCGCAUCCGUCCUGAGGGAGAAAGUGGGGGAUCUUCGGUCCUCACGCUAUCAGAUGAGCCUAGGUCGGAUUAGCUAGUUGGUGGGGUAAAGGCCUACCAAGGCGACGUUCCGUAACUGGUCUGAGAGGAGGAUCAGUCACACUGGGACUGAGACACGGUCCAGACUCCUACGGGAGGCAGCAGUGGGGAAUAUUGGACAAUGGGCGAAAGCCUGAUCCAGCCAUGCCGCGUGUGUGAAGAAGGUCUUCCGAUUGUAAAGCACUUUAAGUUGGGAAGAAGGACAGUAAGUUAAUACCUUGCUGUUUUGACGUUACCAACAGAAUAAGCACCGGCUAACUUCGUG